rnacentral:rRNA from 1 species
CUCGUAGGUGGCCAACUAAGUCAGACGUGAAAUCCCCAGGCUCAACUUGGGAACUGCGUCUGAUACUGGAUGGCUUGAAUUCGGGAGAGGGAUGCAGAAUUCCAGGUGUAGCGGUGAAAUGCGUAGAUAUCUGGAGGAAUACCGGUGGCGAAGGCGGCAUCCUGGACCGAUAUUGACACUGAGGAGCGAAAGCCAGGGGAGCAAACG